AUGCUACUCUUCUUUGUUUUCAUGGUUGUUAAAACCUUUGGUGCUGUUGACAGCAGCAUUAAAUCAGACCAAACCAUUAUAUCUUCAACGGAGGGCAGCAAAACCACACUGACCUGCGCAUAUGAUGACUCGGCUGACUAUCUCCACUGGUAUCGACAAAAGCCUCAAUCAGGACCAGAGUUUCUGUUGCUGAUUAUUGUAUCAACAAAUGAUGUCACUAAAGCUAAACAACCUGACCCAAGACUGUCUAUCAGACUUCGUAAAAAGGAAAAGAAAGUAGAUGUGGAGAUCUUUCCUGCUGCAGUAUCAGACUCUGCACUGUACUACUGCGCCAUGGCGCCCACAGGGACACAAAACUCAAACACACUGUACAAAAAGUGCAAAUUGAUUUUUUUUUCCCCUCAGUAG